rfam:Salmo salar isolate Sally breed double haploid chromosome ssa21, whole genome shotgun sequence.
UGCAAUCACUACUGUAAGUCACUCUGGAUAAGAGCGUCUGCUAAAUUACUAAAA